AUCAGAAGUCGACCAGUCUCUCAGCUUCUGCAGAGGGUUCGGUCACUUCGAGAGAUGCUGACACUGCUGAGCGAAAGCAAGGAAGCAGUUCUGUCUUGCGCGAGCGGACAUUCACAGUUCACUCCUACCUUGACGCAACUUGAGUUUAUGUUGCCGAGUUGGAGAGUCAGCACAUCUCUCUUCAUGCAUCUACGGGAUGGAGCUAUGACGAGCAAAGAUUCGCAAUCUACUCAUGAGCUCCUUCUCUCUGAUGGUUCGCAACCACGGGUGAAACUCCCAGCAUGAGCAACACUUUGGGGUCUGCUCUACUGGUCCUGUCGCAAGGCUGUAUUCCAGAAGUUGCUGAGCAGAAGCUGCAAAGUCUCUUCUACGACGCAAUUGUUGAGACUGAUUAAAACCGUGCGUGAAAGAACGCAUGAGCUAGUAACUAAGACGUGAAGCUGAGCGUGAGCUACGAAGCUGCCGAGUGAAAGGAAACCCCUCAGUACAUGCACUAAGAGGACGCAGAGUGAUGACGAGUUGGAGGCUUAGCAAGCCCCUCAUGAAUCCUGUCUCCGUGGAUAUGAAGCAGUGACGGAUAUGAAACAUUGUCCAUGAGCUCUCCGAUAGUAUGGGUAGCGCCCUUGGGUGCAACUCCCUGCAUGGAUAAUAACUCCUGAAUGCUUUGGAGGGAUGGACUGUCGUUUGAACAGUCAUAUGUCUCCUCCAUCUGCUGUUGACUUGGUAUCAGCACACCAGGAAUCACGGUAAAGAGAACCGCUGACACACGAUCCGAACCUGAUCCAGCUUUUUCCGCCUGAGCAUAAGCGUCUGCAAAGACCGCCACCGAGCAAAGUGUUUGUGCCCAACCUGCCAGGCCGCCAGAGCAAAGAGCCAGUCCGGGCCGCAACGAGCCAGAACUAGAGCCGCCGACCGACAAAUGCCAAUAAAACAACACCACGAUAACGCGGAAGUGCCUCCUGGAGCUGUUGAUGGUGAAACUCCACCAGCCCCCAGAGCAGGAGACGUUGGAAGCGACUGAGACACGUUAAGUUAUGCCAGCACAACAGUGACACUGUGAAACGAUGACGACAGCGCGAAGGUGAAACUGUGAACUGCGAGAGCAGAAUGCCAGCACCUUGAGAGCAUGGGCCAGAGCCCAUCAGUAAGAGCCAGAGCCAUGACAAUUAGCCAAUGAGUGCCAAUGAGCCAAUAAGAGCUAGGUGUUAUGCAAUAAGAGCAGAGAGAUCCAGAGCCAACGAGCCAGAUAUAAAGAGUCAGAGCUCCGCAGAGGAGCCAUACUAAAGGCAGUCGGAAGUUGAUCUUUUUGAUCCAAGAUUCGCAUUCAGAAAGGAUGUAGGCAGUCGAACCUCGACACGAGGAUGUAGACGAGACCGAACCUUUUAGUCUAUAGAAAAGAGGAUGUAAGCAGUGAGCUGAACCUCUGGGGUUAAUAUAUUAUGGACCAUGAAGUCCCACCCA
rnacentral:misc_RNA from 1 species